rnacentral:rRNA from 1 species
AUUGAACGCUGGCGGCAGGCCUAACACAUGCACGUCGAACGAGUGGCGGACGGGUGAGUAAUGUCUGGGAAACUGCCCGAUGGAGGGGGAUAACUACUGGAAACGGUAGCUAAUACCGCAUACCAUCGGAUGUGCCCAGAUGGGAUUCGCUAGUAGGUGGGGUACCGGCUCACCUAGGCGACGAUCCCUAGCUGGUCUGAGAGGAUGACCAGCCAUACUGGAACGGAGAGACGGUCCAGACUCCUACGGGAGGUAGCAGGGGGGAAGAUUGCACAAUGGGAGCAAGCCUGAAGCAGCCAUGCCGCGUGUAGGAAGAAGGCCUUCGGUUUGUAAAGUACUUGCAGCGAGGAGGCGUUACUCGCAGAAGAAGCACCGGCUAACUCCGUGCCAGCAGCCGCGGUAAUAC